rnacentral:rRNA from 1 species
UGCAUGUCUAGUAUAAGUAUUAAUACUUCGAAGCUGCGAAUGGCUCAUUAUAUCAGUUAUAGUUUAUUUGAUAAUCCCUUACUACUCGGAUACCUGUAGUAAUUCUAGAGCUAAUACGUGCAUCAAUAUCCAACUCUCGGGAAGGAUAGUAUUUAUUAGAUAUAAACCAACCCACUUCGGUGGCGUACUGGUGAUUCAUAAUAACUUUGCGAAUCGCAUGGCUCUGCCGGCGAUGGAUCAUUCAAGUUUCUGCCCUAUCAGCUCUGAUGGUAGAGUAUUGGUCUACCAUGGCGAUAACGGGUAACGGGAGAUUAGGGUUUGAUUCCGGAGAGGGGGCCUGAGAGAUGGCCACCACAUCCAAGGAAGGCAGCAGGCGCGUAAAUUACCCAAUUCUGAAACAGAGAGGUAGUGACAAUAAAUAACAAUGCCGGGCCUCUUUCGAGGUCUGGCAAUUGGAAUGAGAACAAUUUAAAUCCCUUAUCGAGGAUCAAUUGGAGGGCAAGUCUGGUGCCAGCAGCCGCGGUAAUUCCAGCUCCAAUAGCGUAUAUUUUAGUUGUUGCAGUUAAAAAGCUCGUAGUCGAAUUUCUGGUGGGAGAGUGCGGUCCGACCUUUUGGUGGGUACUUGCUCUCUCCGGCCAUCCUUGGGAGGAGCCUGUCUGGCAUUAAGUUGUCGGGCUGGGGAUUCCCAUCAUUUACUGUGAGUUAAUUGGAGUGUUCAAAGCAGACUUAUGUCGUUGAACAUAUUAGCAUGGAAUAAUAAGAUAGGACCACAGCACUAUUUUGUUGGUUUGCGCGCCGUGGUAAUGAUGAAUAGGGACAGUUGUGGGUAUUCGUAUUCAGUUGUAAGAGGUGAAAUUCUUAGAUUAACGGAAGACGAACUACUGCGAAAGCAUUUACCAGGGAUGUUUUCA